rnacentral:rRNA from 2 species
UUGAUCCUGGCUCAGGAUGAACGCCGGCGGUGUGCCUAAUACAUGCAAGUCGAACGCGUUGGCCCAAUUGAUUGAUGGUGCUUGCACCUGAUUGAUUUUGGUCGCCAACGAGUGGCGGACGGGUGAGUAACACGUAGGUAACCUGCCCAGAAGCGGGGGACAACAUUUGGAAACAGAUGCUAAUACCGCAUAACAACGUUGUUCGCAUGAACAACGCUUAAAAGAUGGCUUCUCGCUAUCACUUCUGGAUGGACCUGCGGUGCAUUAGCUUGUUGGUGGGGUAACGGCCUACCAAGGCGAUGAUGCAUAGCCGAGUUGAGAGACUGAUCGGCCACAAUGGGACUGAGACACGGCCCAUACUCCUACGGGAGGCAGCAGUAGGGAAUCUUCCACAAUGGGCGCAAGCCUGAUGGAGCAACACCGCGUGAGUGAAGAAGGGUUUCGGCUCGUAAAGCUCUGUUGUUAAAGAAGAACACGUAUGAGAGUAACUGUUCAUACGUGACGGUAU